rnacentral:rRNA from 1 species
AUUGAACGCUUGCGGCAGGCUUAACACAUGCAAGUCUAGCGAGCGGCGGACGGGUGAGUAAUGUCUGGGAAACUGCCUUAUGGAGGGUGUUAACUACUGGAAACGGUAGCUAAUACCGCAUACCAUCAGAUGUGCCCAGAUGGGAUUAGCUAGUGGGUGGGUUAAUGGCUCACCUAGGCGACGAUCCCUAGUUGGUCUGCGAGGAUGACCAGCCAAACUGGAACUGAGACACGGUCCAGACUCCUACGUGAGGCAGCAGUGGGGAAUAUUGAACAAUGGGCGCAAGCCUGAUGCAGCCAUGCCGCGUGGGUGAAGAAGGUCUUCGGGUUGUAAAGCACUUUCAGCGAGGAGGCGUUACUCGCAGAAGAAGCACCGGCUAACUCCGUGCCAGCCGCCGCGGUAAUAC